AUUCAUUCACCCCUCCCUUCUCUCUCUCUCUCUGUCUCUCUCGCUCUCCCUCUCUCUGUCUCUCUCUCUUUUCUCUCUCUCUCUCUCUCUCUCUCUCUCAGUGUGUAAGUGUGUGUUGAGAGAUGGGUGUUAGUCAGUAAUUCUCUCUGAGUGCUGUAACUGUGUUUUUUAAAGUGUAUAUAGUGUUUUUUCCUGAGUAAGUGUAGUAAAUGCUGUAUGGACUGUAGACUGUAGUCUGUAUAUCCGGAGCUCCGCGAGUCUGCGCUGCUUUUCUGACUGACUGAAGAAGCACCUGAGAGAGAGCUGAUCUUCAGCACAGAGCAUCAAUACGGGAGAAAACGAGAGACAGUCUGCUACAGGACAGAAGACUGACUUGGAUCUGUCUGGAUUUGUCAAAGGGAAUAAGCACAAUUGGAGAAGCUGACAUGUGGAAUAAACAGACCAAAACAAGAGGAAGUCAUUAGGAGCUGACUCUGAGUAAGCACAUGGAACAUGUGUGUGGAAUCAUGGCUUUGAUACUGCUUUGGUUUGUAGUUUAAUCAGGUAAUUGAGUUUGUUUUGUUUGGACCCCAUGCAUUCAAUAAUUACUCUGUGACUGCAGACAUUUGCCUGUAA
rnacentral:lncRNA from 1 species